rnacentral:rRNA from 1 species
GACGAACGCUGGCGGCGUGCCUAAUACAUGCAAGUAGAACGCAGUUGCGAACGGGUGAGUAACGCGUAGGUAACUGCCUCAUAGCGGGGGAUAACUUUUGGAAACGAUAGAUAAUACCGCAUACUGUGCGAUGGACCUGCGUUGUAGUAGCUAGUUGGUGAGGUAAAGGCUCACCAAGGCGACGGUACAAAGCCGACCUGAGAGGGUGAUCGGCCACACUGGGACUGGAGCACGGCCCCGACUCCUUCGGGAGGCAGCAGUAGGGAAUCUUCGGCAAUUGACGGAAGUCUGACCGAGCAACGCCGGGGGAGUGAAGAAGGUUUUCGGAUCGUAAAGCUCUGUUGUUAGAGAAGCGUUAACUAACCAGAAAGGGACGGCUAACUACGUGCCAGCAGCCGCGGUAAUUC